CGUUAAUUUAUGAAUAAUUAGGCACACAAAAAUAUAUAUAUUUGGCAUUUUCAACAACUUCCUUUAAUUUAUUUUUUUGAUUUUUGUCCACCUAGAAACCGAAAUUCAACCACUAUGCACGUAAAAUAGGUAGGAUUUGUCAGUUUUUCCUGUACACUUUUUUCCAAUAAUUUUGAAAACUAUCGGAAAAUCAAAAAAUAACAUCUUUAAUGCCCCAACUAGAUACGAAAAGUAAAAAAAAGUUUUACCAUUUGUCAAAUGGACCAAAAUUUCUGAUAGGAAAAUUGCUCAUUGGUACAAAAAAAAAUAAACUUAUAGUAAAACCAGCAGAUCCAAUCCCAGAUCGCUACACAAAGAAUCUAAAAUAUAUACUUAUAUCAGUGUAUAAAAUUAACACAAAAUACAAAUUUGUAAAAAAACUAAAUAAUAAUAAUUGAAAAAAAAUUUUACCAUAUACCUAUAUUUUUUCUUUUUUUCUUUGCGGUGGCGUAUUAAAUCGUUAUUAUUUAGUGCUUGGAGAAUUUUCAAUCAAUAAUUAUGUCUUAUGUACGUACCUAUAUUAAUAGGCACCUAUACGUUUUAAAAAUGAUAACUUAUAAUAAUAUUUACGCUGCAAACCGUCGUUGUGUAGCUGUAAGUGGGACUGGUACGAUCAAAAACAAAGAACGCUCUGAUCGAGAGUUGCCAGUAAUAGUCUUUUAUAAUAUUAUAUUAUUAAAAUACCUAUCUUUUAGGGGGAAUCGACAAUUUUCUCCUCCCUGGUUUCUGUACGGAUAAUGGCCAUACUAUUUCGGUUAAAUAUUAUAUUAUUCGCGUAGGUUGGUAGAUUUAAUUAUACAAUAGUUAUUAUCAUUAUUGUUAUUAUUAUUUGGAUAUACACAUAACAAAUUAUAAAUUGGUGUCCAAUUCAAUUAAUCUUAAAAGUAUAAUUAUUAGCCCGGCCAGUCCCUUUUCACACUUGUCUGAGCAUAUUAUAAUGUGUGACUAAAUAUAUUUAAAGAGUCUGGUAUGAUUAUAC